UGGAAUUGCAUUCCAUCACCCAUCUCCCGAAAUUUGCAUUGAUUGGAGGAGCGGGGUUUGCUUGAUUACGGGGCGGACUCCAACUUCCCAUAAUUAGACUGCAGUGAGACACGGAAGCCCUUUCGCUUCCUUCCGUUCCACCACUGACCGGGGGUUGUGUUGUUGAUGUCGGGGAGGACACUCUAGCUGGUGCUUCUCGCUGUAAGCGAGUGCGUUGACUCGUACAGUCUCUCUCCUGCUGUAAUUGCUCGUGGCUCGGCUUGUGGCUGGAGCACUGAAGUCCUCCGAGUAGUGCGCGAAGCGUGUGCAAGCUUCUGCUACGGAGAUCUUUGCGCCAUCACGAUUCAGAUUGAGGCUACGUGCGCAGUAUAACCACUCGGGCGGGGAGUGACCAGCAACUAGGGUGACUCCGCGGCAUCACAGGCUGCUGCUCUGUUUGGGAACAUAGUCC